CCAAAGAAAUCUGCAAAAGUGCAUGCAAGAUUAGCUAAUAACUUUUUACCUAAUAACUCGGCUAUCACAAGGACAAAGGAUGUAAUUUCGAAGAUGAUGAUAGACUUAACAUGAAGAAUUGUUUAUAAGAUGAUGAAUUAAUAUACACUGAAAAAUCUGCCACUGAUGGGACUCGAACUUGCAACCUUCCAAUCUUGAGUCGACAGCUUUAACCGCUGGCCACCAGCAACUUUCUAGUAAUUAUAAAGUUGAAAGCAAGUAACUCAAUUUUGAGAUUGAUGCUAUAAAAUCAUCGGCUGCAACACAGCCGAUGACCAUCAGGUUCCACAAACCAAAGUUGAACAACCCUUGAAGCAGAAACUGAACCGGAGGAGACAACCUGAAGGAGAUUUUAAUGUGAAUGAGCAACUGAGCAGUGGAUGGACUGCAUUAUUGCACGCGUGUGACAUGCACAGGUCGUGAUGAGAUGGUGGAGAUGUUGCACUGGUUGGUGGUGGUAGGUUGGUACACUGACCCCUCAGUAGACAAGAAUAACCAUGCACCACUUUGGCUUAGUUACUACAUGCUAGGCUUUGUUAGAUGAGAUUUCACUUAUAGAGACAAUUCUGAGCACAUCACUGGAAGAGUGUACCAUAAUUAUAGCGAGUAAUUUUGGCAAUUAUUAUGUUGAAUAUUCUAAUGCAAUGCUGAUUAGGCAUGCGCACUUCCUUGAAAAUAGAAGUAGAUGACUCCCUAAGACUUAUAAUUAUCUAGAUUUGCCAAAUUGUCAGUUUUACAGUUCCUACAUUGUAGCUGUAUAUAUAUACAGUGAAAACUGUCUAUUCUUGUCGCCUCCUGUAGUACCCGUGAAGUUUCUAUUAAACCACUAAGGUCUUAAAUAAUUAUUAUUAUUGUUGUUGCAUGUGCAUGUAUGCAAUAAUAAUGCAUAAUAGUUUCAUAGAAAGAAUUGUUCAAAAUAAGAUAGUUUCACAUGUAGUAUAUACUAGUAGUUCUGUAUAGUUAAGUAUACGUAAUAUUAAGUACAUUACCCUAUUAUGAUACUGUAACUAUAGUCAAUUGCUACACUCCAGCCAUGGCUUGUAGUCAGGAGCUUCUGCAGAUACUCGGAAUAUUAGAGUGUCGUCUUUGAGGUACUGAGUGUUUGUAAGAGGAUCGUGAGCGAGGUCAGCGUGGGAGAUGUACUCUGGGUAGCCCCACCCUCCCCCUCUCUCAUCAUCAACCACUCUCUGACUGACCCCACCCUCUGCUAGAUAUGUGAGAGUCUUCUUGCAGUGGUUCUUAUCUUCCAGUUGGUUGAGUAGCUCGAUUGUGACUGUCCCAGUGAACGGCCAGGACAGGGAGUCAUCAUUGUCUCCCUUCAUGAGAUGGGCAAACACUGAAACAUGAGUGUCUUUAGCUUCAUCAUAACCAUUCGCAUCGACUUUUAUACACAGCUUGUAGCCUGAUUCUGAAGUACAAAUAUCUGUACUUAAGAAUUGAGUGUCGUUUUCUUUUUUCUCUUUAAAAUCGUUGAAUUUAAAUGUUAGUGUGUUUUUUAAGACGAGCAUGUUUGUUAGCUUUAGUAUUUUGUCUGCUGCUAUUUCUAGAUGUAUCAGUGCAUUCUCCUCGUGAUUAGUCAAAUCCUUUCUUAGAGGCUUCUCUGCACAACCAAUAUUAGUACUGUACUUGCAGCGUACUGGUUCAUCCGGGCAAACUAAAACAUGGCCUGUUUGGUCACAGCGAGAAAUUGUAACCAAGCACUUGGAACACUCGAUCUUGACUUUAGGACAGACUUCCAGAUGUGUAGUAGUUCUCUCAUCAUACACACCAGCUUCAUUGCAGUGUGGGCAUGUGUACCGUCUCUUGGGGCAUUUUCUUGCCAUGUGGUUGUCCAGAUCUUGAUACUCCAUAUCUUGCUUACACUUUAGGCAGCUUGUAAGUCGCCUUUGGCAUUCUGUCUCAAGAUGAAGCUGAAGAUUUUUUCUCAUAGGCUUUGUGUUACAAGCAUUCGGGCAUGUAAUUUUAGUAUUUUCGCAUUUGUUUUUCUCGUGAUCUUGGACUGAUCGCAGCUCCCCUUGCCAACCACAGCUGGUCGUGCAGUAUACUAGCAGAGACUUCACCUCUUGGUCACCUAGAAUAAUUACAAGAAUAUGAUUAUUAGGCAAAAAUGCACUGUAUCGAUAUUAUGUAUGUACGUACGUUUAGUACCGUAUUUAUUCUAUAUAGGGGACACUAAUGGAGAGUAUGCAUGUGCAUUCAAAACAAAAUGAUGAGCAACUCUCCUAGCGCAUUGCAUAUAAUAUUCAAAAUAAGGCCAUAUAUACCCAAGUGAUUUUAUGUUGAACAGAAAUGAACAAGGUUGGCCAAAAAAAUUAAGUUGUUUAUACUUCAUUAUAAAACCACAAACAGUGUUACAAUAGUUAAUUAACAUCACUACGUUGUGCUAGAUCACAUGGGCACUCUGACCUCUGCCCUCUGCCCUCUAAUUGUUGUGCAUUCUGCCAAAAAUAAAACCCGGAAAAUCCGUGAAAUUGUGUGACGUAUUACUUUAAUACUUACUUUUGAAAUCGUUAAAGAUACUUUCUCCGUACUGACGUCUACGAGACGUUCUGAUUGGUUGUCUGCAGUGAGGACAAUCGUUCCUUCUGUACUUUCCAAUACACACUUUACAGAAUAGCUUCCCACAGCCGCCAUGUUGUUGUGGCUCCCUAACUACAUGCAGACAGAUGAGACACUUGAGAGAGUCUGCAGGUUCUUCUAUGAACUUGUAGUCGUAGCCUCCCUCAUUCAGUGAUAGGCUAGAAAACUGGUCAAGCACUUUCCUUCUUCUUGUCUGUUCCAUUGCUGCUUAGAAUAGAAUUGACAUCAUGUGAUCUAGGCAAUGAAUAUUGGAUCUGCAUGAUCUGUGGUUUGCUGUUGUGUGUUCCGCUGCGUAGCUUGUCUAGCUUUAUCUACAGAAAUGUACUAUUAUUGUGUUUUGCAAGUUGCUUGGCAUUGUGCACAGUAAAUGGGCGUUGUCAAUAGUACUACUGAGUCGUGAAUGUGUCUAUUCAGCAACAAAAUUUAAAUUUGCUAGCUAAGCUGUUAGUGCACUAACAGCUUAGCUAGCAAAUUUUAAUUUUAAUUUUAAUUUUUGCAUGUAUAUGCACAUGCAGUACUCUGUUGACUUGCUAUACCUCUGUUGAUUUGAGCCAGUAUGGCAGUUGUUUUAGUUAUAGAAGUGCACUAAAAAAGCAGGUAGAUUAGAGGACAUAAAGAGUGAACACAUUACUGAUUAGAUCUAGUAACCACAGUAGUACACAGGAAACGCCCAUUUACUGUGCACAAUGACUGACAAGCAACUUGCAAAACACAGUAGAAGCCUAAAACUCUUACAGACACACACACACACACUAUAUACUGUAUACCUCGCUUACGCAUGCGCAAACCGAAGCAUAAUAAUAAACAUGUAUACAUGCAUGUACUAGUUUUUUCAGCUGACAGCCGACGACCAUCAAGUACAAGCAGAGCAGCUCUCUCCAAAAAUCUCCCACACAAACCGAAGAUGAGCAAUCCUCGAAGCAGUAACCCUACAGGAGGAAACGACCCGAGGUCAAAAUACAGAAAGAGUUUAAUGUGAAUGAGCAACUGAGCAGCAGUGGAUGGACUGCAUUAUUGCACGCGUGUAACACAGGUCGUGAGGAGAUGGUGGAACUGUUGCUGGAGAGAGGGGCCGACCCUAACACUCAUAAAGAGACUACUACACGGCUCUGAUGGCGGUGUGUGCUCACAAGAGUGUGACUCGGAGGGAAGGCCUCGUCUCCUGUGCCAGACUCCUUCAACAAGGGGGCAAAGGUACGAUAGGAUAGACUACACCUAAGAGUAGAAUAUGCGUCUAUGUAACCUCUGAGGUUGCGGUUAGCCCGAGGCGCAAAGCCGAAGGAAUCUAACCGUAACCAAGGUGGUUAGGAAGAAUGAAGCUCUGUGGUGGAGUGGAGGGGGGUAUACAGCAGACUGGACCGGCAUGGAACCUUAAAAAACUCAAUAGAAAGUGUCAAGCGAUUGCUGAAGUGUUUUUGAUGCUUCCUGGCCCCCCUGCCCAUGCCCAACUGGAAAAAGCAAUACAAAGCAACAGUGGACAUGGAUAUUGACUGAACAAACUAUUGCAUUCUGUGUUUUUUAUAAUGUUUUUGUCAUCUUCUUGUCACUUUCACUAAAAAUUUCAUUCUAACUUUUGAGAACUUCC